rnacentral:rRNA from 1 species
ACGGGAGGCAGCAGUGGGGAAUAUUGGGCAAUGGGCGCAAGCCUGACCCAGCGACGCCGCGUGAGGGAAGAAGGUCUUCGGAUUGUAAACCUCUUUCAGCAGGGAAGACCAAGAGACGGUACCUGCAGAAGAAGUCACGGCUAACUACGUGCCAGCAGCCGCGGUAAUACGUAGGUGGCGAGCGUUAUCCGGAAUUACUGGGUGUAAAGGGCGCGUAGGCGGGGAUGCAAAUCAGAUGUGAAAUCCAUGGGCUUAACCCAUGAACUGCAUUUGAAACUGUAUCUCUUGAGUGUCGGAGAGGUAGAUGGAAUUCCUAGUGUAGCGGUGAAAUGCGUAGAUAUUAGGAGGAACACCAGUGGCGAAGGCGAUCUACUGGACGAUAACUGACGCUGAGGCGCGAAAGCGUGGGGAGCAAACAGGAUUAGAUACCCUGGUA